rnacentral:rRNA from 1 species
CCUACGGGUGGCAGCAGUCGAGAAUCAUUCACAAUGGGGGAAACCCUGAUGGUGCGACGCCGCGUGGGGGAAUGAAGGUCUUCGGAUUGUAAACCCCUGUCAUGUGGGAGCAAAUUAAAAAGAUAGUACCACAAGAGGAAGAGACGGCUAACUCUGUGCCAGCAGCCGCGGUAAUACAGAGGUCUCAAGCGUUGUUCGGAAUCACUGGGCGUAAAGCGUGCGUAGGCUGUUUCGUAAGUCUUGUGUGAAAGGCGCGGGCUCAACCCGCGGACGGCACAUGAUACUGCGAGACUAGAGUAAGGGAGGGGGAACCGGAAUUCUCGGUGUAGCAGUGAAAUGCGUAGAUAUCGAGAGGAACACUCGUGGCGAAGGCGGGUUCCUGGACAUUAACUGACGCUGAGGCACGAAGGCCAGGGGAGCGAAAGGGAUUAGAUACCCUUGUAGUC